rnacentral:rRNA from 1 species
UGGGGAAUAUUGGACAAUGGGCGCAAGCCUGAUCCAGCAAUGCCGCGUGAGUGAUGAAGGCCUUAGGGUUGUAAAGCUCUUUUGUCCGGCACGAAACGGUUGAGGCUAAUACUCUCGACUACUUACGGUACCGGAAGAAUAAGCACCGGCUAACUACGUGCCAGCAGCCGCGGUAAGACGUAGGGGGCGAGCGUUGUCCGGAAUUACUGGGCGUAAAGCGCGUGCAGGCGGCUUUGUAAGUCCCGUGUGAAAGCCUACGGCUCAACUGUAGGAGGCCGCGGGAUACUGCGAGGCUUGAGGGCAGGAGAGGGAAGUAGAAUUCCCGGUGUAGCGGUGAAAUGCGUAGAUAUCGGGAGGAAUGCCAGUGGCGAAGGCGGCUUCCUGGCCUGCCCCUGACGCUGAGACGCGAAAGCUGGGGGAGCGAAC